rnacentral:rRNA from 1 species
UACAGGGGUUGCAACCGUUGCUCGGAAUCAUUGGGCGUAAAGCGCACGUAGGCGGUCUGUUAUGUCGGAUGUGAAAGCCCUUGGCUCAACUGAGGAAGUGCAUCCGAAACUGGCAGGCUAGAGUACUAAAGAGGGUCGCGGAAUUCCCGGUGUAGAGGUGAAAUUCGUAGAUAUCGGGAGGAACACCGGUGGCGAAGGCGGCGACCUGGGUAGAUACUGACGCUGAGGUGCGAAAGCGUGGGGAGCAAACAGG